rnacentral:lncRNA from 1 species
GGACGCGCGACUGACCGGCGGCGAGCGGUGGGAGACUUUGGAACUUAGGCAAAAGUGUGCGUGCAGCCAGCUUUUAGGACUGUCAGACCCAGGAGACCACACAAGCCACAGUCCCAGAACAGCGGGUGUGCUGUGGUGGGGUAAGCCUGAGUGCAGGGGUCGGAGGAUCCGUCCUGCAGCUGGUGUCGCUGAUCCUUAGGACAGCCCAGCCCUUUCGGCCAGACCUUCGGGUUGGAUCUUCACAGUAAGCCACUCACUGAACGGCGACCUUUGGGCAACUAGAAUUCCGGAGCAGUGGCUUAGACCAGGUGGUAGGAUGAGAAUAGGAGAGAAUGAAAUCAAGGUGAUACCUACCUGGGAUGGCGGGAGGAGGGAGCCUGGAAGCGAACCUGGGGGCAGUGGAGAGGGUGGCUAUUAUGACCAAGCUGUGGUCUACGACUGCUCAGGGGUGCCUGAAGUAGAGUGGAAAUCUCAGAGCUGCGCUGGGUUUUGUUUUGUUUUGCUUUUACUUGGUCUUGUUUUGAAAUUACCCCUGCUCUCCACAGCAGCAGAAUUGAAUGGUGACGCAUUGCAUUGGGUGACAGCCUGCUUGUGGGGUCCUGUCAAAGGGGUUGAAUAUUGGCAGUUUCGCAUGAUCCAAAUUAAGAAGAUGGCUGCCUGGUACGUGAUAAACACCGAGAACAGAAUUUUAGCCAGGGAGCGGCUUCUAAAUUAAGCUGAAUUCACCGGACUAAAGGUUAAGCUUUACAUUUAAAAAAAAAAGUUUAUUUAUUUUAUGUAUAUGCGUAUACUGUCGAUGUCUUCAGACACACAACAGAGGAAGACACUGGAUCCCAUUACAGAUGGUUGUGAGCCACCAUGUGGUUGCUGGGAAUUGAACUCCGGAUCUCUGGAAGAGCAGCCACUGAGCCAUCUCUCCAGCCCCCUCUUUUUUUU